rnacentral:lncRNA from 1 species
GAUGUCGGGUACCAUUGCUAGAUGGUCACUUCGAUUAGUACAGGAAUUGAUUCCUGUGCUAUCGGCUUAGGUUCGAACCUGCGGGGUUACACACAUUAGAGGUUCCUAUCUGAUCUAAUGGCUGGUGUAGAAUCCUACAUAUUUGGGACUCAGUGAUCGAGAAUCAGGAUUCUCUGAUCAUGAGUUCCACACAUUAUGGGUACCGGGGUCAAGAGUCCCACUGGUUGGGACUUUUUGAUCAGGGUUACAUAUCGAUGAAUUCUGAUGCCCGAUUGCCCAUCAGAUUUGGACUCAGUAUUUAUGAGAGGUUUAAUUAGUGAUUUGAUCACUAACUAACUCAAUUUGAUUGAGUAAU